GCUAAUUCACAUAACUUGUAUUUGAGCGUUGCUCAGCAACAUUGUAAGCCAUCUUAUGUUCAUGAAAUUUCAGUAUGAUUGUCUUUACUUGUGGAAGUACUGAACAAAAAUUUUAGGUCUUAUGUGUGUGGUUUUUUUUUUUAUCAGCAA